UCUUCAGGCCACCUAUCGACAAGACUUUAAAGACGGAGAAGAACAAAGCCCGUGCAGCACAAACCAGAGUCAUAUCCAAACCUAGCCAGCCACCUCCUCCUCCCAAGAAAGUGGCCCCUCCCUCUCCGAUCAGGGUAGCUAAGGGUCCAGCAAUCACUAAGACGGGCAAACAUGUUCUCAAAGCAGGAGGCGAUGCAUCAAAAACAAAGGGCAAAGCUGAACAGGAGACUGAUGAAGCCUUACAGUACCGUGCUGGUAUUAAAGCAAGGCCUGGUGGUCCCAGGUAUUCAUCAGAAUACCAGCGACAGUUUGCCUGGAAGCAACCAUGAAAAGAAUCACCUUUGAUGGCUGCAGAACAGAUGGUACAUACCUCUAAUGCAAACCUGGCUCCGUAUGUACCUUAUAAGAUAC